rnacentral:rRNA from 1 species
AGAGUUUGAUCAUGGCUCAGAUUGAACGCUGGCGGCAGGCCUAACACAUGCAAGUCGAACGGUAACAGGAAGCAGCUUGCUGCUUUGCUGACGAGUGGCGGACGGGUGAGUAAUGUCUGGGAAACUGCCUGAUGGAGGGGGAUAACUACUGGAAACGGUGGCUAAUACCGCAUAACGUCGCAAGACCAAAGAGGGGGGACCUUCGGGCCUCUUGCCAUCAGAUGUGCCCAGAUGGGAUUAGCUAGUUGGUGAGGUAACGGCUCACCAAGGCGACGAUCCCUAGCUGGUCUGAGAGGAUGACCAGCCACACUGGAACUGAGACACGGUCCAGACUCCUACGGGAGGCAGCAGUGGGGAAUAUUGCACAAUGGGCGCAAGCCUGAUGCAGCCAUGCCGCGUGUAUGAAGAAGGCCUUCGGGUUGUAAAGUACUUUCAGCGGGGAGGAAGGUGUUGUGGUUAAUAACCGCAGCAAUUGACGUUACCCGCAGAAGAAGCACCGGCUAACUCCGUGCCAGCAGCCGCGGUAAUACGGAGGGUGCAAGCGUUAAUCGGAAUUACUGGGCGUAAAGCGCACGCAGGCGGUCUGUCAAGUCGGAUGUGAAAUCCCCGGGCUCAACCUGGGAACUGCAUUCGAAACUGGCAGGCUUGAGUCUUGUAGAGGGGGGUAGAAUUCCAGGUGUAGCGGUGAAAUGCGUAGAGAUCUGGAGGAAUACCGGUGGCGAAGGCGGCCCCCUGGACAAAGACUGACGCUCAGGUGCGAAAGCGUGGGGAGCAAACAGGAUUAGAUACCCUGGUAGUCCACGCCGUAAACGAUGUCUACUUGGAGGUUGUGCCCUUGAGGCGUGGCUUCCGGAGCUAACGCGUUAAGUAGACCGCCUGGGGAGUACGGCCGCAAGGUUAAAACUCAAAUGAAUUGACGGGGGCCCGCACAAGCGGUGGAGCAUGUGGUUUAAUUCGAUGCAACGCGAAGAACCUUACCUGGUCUUGACAUCCACAGAACUUUCCAGAGAUGGAUUGGUGCCUUCGGGAACUGUGAGACAGGUGCUGCAUGGCUGUCGUCAGCUCGUGUUGUGAAAUGUUGGGUUAAGUCCCGCAACGAGCGCAACCCUUAUCCUUUGUUGCCAGCGGUCCGGCCGGGAACUCAAAGGAGACUGCCAGUGAUAAACUGGAGGAAGGUGGGGGAUGACGUCAAGUCAUCAUGGCCCUUACGACCAGGGCUACACACGUGCUACAAUGGCGCAUACAAAGAGAAGCGACCUCGCGAGAGCAAGCGGACCUCAUAAAGUGCGUCGUAGUCCGGAUUGGAGUCUGCAACUCGACUCCAUGAAGUCGGAAUCGCUAGUAAUCGUGGGAUCAGAAUGCCACGGUGAAUACGUUCCCGGGCCUUGUACACACCGCCCGUCACACCAUGGGAGUGGGUUGCAAAAGAAGUAGGUAGCUUAACCUUCGGGAGGGCGCUUACCACUUUGUGAUUCAUGACUGGGGGUGAAGUCGUAACAAGGUAACCGUAGGGGAACCUGCGGUUGGAUCACCU